CGAUGGCUCAGUUGGUAGAGCGACGCACUCGUAAUGCGUAGGUCGUGGGUUCGAGUCCCAUUC
rnacentral:tRNA from 1 species